GUUGCAAUUUUAGCCUUAUUUUGCAGUUUGGCAGUGUUUGAUGGAUAUCAGCUUGCAGGUUUAAGGUUGUCACGGUUAUUCUUGCAAGAUGGCAUUUUUGCAGAGUGACCUUUUGAUCUAUUAUUCUGACCUGAAUCCUCACUUUUGGAUAGGUUGCAACCAAAGUCCCCUUGUGCUAUUAUGCUGAAGUAAUUUUGACCUUUGUUUGGGUCGAAUGGGGCAAAGGCUACAAUUGGCUUCGAGUUUCCAGUUUAAGGUGAAUUUGAAGUAACUUGAAAAAUAAGUGUGAAAGGCACCCUAGGGAGAUAUCAUGCCAGGGUGAUUUGUGGCUGCAAGUUUGAAGCUUCUUCCUUCCACUUGGCUUGAUUGUGAUGUAAUAAAUCGUGUAAUUGCCAUGUAAAUGACAGAUUUAUAUGUUACACCUUUAAUAAUGGAAUUGAAACACUUAUGUUUGUAAAUCAUAUUUUGUGGUUCAACCAUGUAUACCAAAGUUGGUGAUUCAAACCUUUAA